rnacentral:lncRNA from 1 species
AAAAAAGAAACUCCUUUAUAUUUGAACUAGAUUGGGUAGGUUUCUGUUCCUUGCAGCCCAAUGAGCCUGACCCUACUUGUUACCGUGGCAAGUCUCUGCCCCCUGUCUGGGCCUCAGUUUGACUACACCACCGUCUCUAAGAUCUUCUCCAGAUCAAUGUUCUCUUUGAACAUCAUGCAGAGUGAAUGGGUUUUAGGUUGUUGGCAACUGAGUUCAGUAUUAGUUACAGAGUGUCCAUGUUAUCCUGGCUCCCAAAAUAACUUGGUGGCUGGUUAAAGAGCCUGUGGGAGGAUCCAACACACACCUGGCUUUGAACCUGAGCCCUGCUGAUAGAGUCUGCCUCCCCUGUCCAUUGCAUCCUUUGUUGGAUCACAAAGGGACUGAGGAACCAGGGCUGGUGUUUCUCCAGUAUCUUUUGGCUGCUGAAUGCCCUACCUACCCCCUUAACACUUUCCUGGACCCACUUCAGCAUUUCAGAGGAUCCCAGUGCCAGAGCACCUGGUGGAAGGUAUGACAGGAAAUAUUGAAAACCAUCGGUCUAUCCCUCCAUCAGCACCUCUGAAAGAGAGGAAGCAGAGCCCAUGAUUUCAUUUCCAGGAUCCACGUGUUUUCAGGAAGCUGACUCCAUCAGGGUAGAGGAGGGCUGAGCCAGUCAAUCCCACUGACUAGAAUGACUGGUUCAGGUGGGUCAUAUGAACUCACCAGUCCAAUCAGAGAGGAUCUCAGGAUUUUUGCUGAGAAGGCUGGCACACAGCCUGUCUCUUCCUUGCUAACCACGAAUGAGGAAGUAUGCAGGCCCUGGGAGCUGUUGGCAGUCAUCUUGGGACAAUAAGAGGAGCAGAAACCAGGAAGAAAGAGUAGCCCUGAGGACUAGGAGGUUAAUUUGGGGCAACAUGGAAGCCAUAUGCUGUAGUCACUGCUUAGGAAGCUCUGGCAUGGUGAAUCAGGUUCAUGCCCCUUACGAUGCCUAUUGUUGAUCACAAAGCAAGACCAAUUUACAAGCAUCAAGGAAAACUCUGGAAGAGAAAGAAAGUUCUAGAUAUCAGCCACUUUUCCCAUAGUCACAUCCUGGAUCAAUGGCUUUUAAAUAUUUUUUAGUGUGCCCUCAAUAAAAAAUAAAUUUUAUAGUGUGACACUACAGUGUGACGUAGCUGUAUACAUAACUGAAACAAAAGUUUCACCAUAAUUUUCAUAGUAUUUACCCUUGCUAUGUGCAAUUACAGUUAUGCGCUGCAUAACAACAUUAUGGGCAAUGAGAGACUGCAUACACGAUGGUGGUCCCACAAGAUUAGUCCCAUAUAGCCUAGGUGUGUAGUAGACUAUAUCAUUUAGGUUUGUUUAAG